CUUCGAACACCGCAUCGAAAUCAGGUCACGUGACGUAUAAGAUGGCGCCAAUCACACGGAGAGUGUAUACUACAUACUUGAUGCUGGCCAUGCUGUGUGUACUAGCUACAUACCAGGGUGCAUCAGGAGGUGCCAACGAUGUCGAGGAAUUCACGUCUGCCUCCCCAUCAACGAACAGGAACAUAUUGGAAGC